GCAACCCGGAGAACUGAAACAUCUAAGUACCCGGAGGAGAAGAAAACAAAAGUGAUUCCGCUAGUAGUGGCGAGCGAACGCGGAAUAGCCCAAACCAUUAUUGUUACGGCAAUACUGGGGUUGUAGGACUGCGAUAUUGGUUGUGUAAUGAAUUAGAAUCCUUUGGAAAGAGGAACCAUAGAGGGUGAUAGUCCCGUAUAAGUAAAGAUCAUUAACCAUAGCAGUAUCCUGAGUAGUGCGGGACACGUGUAAUCCUGUAUGAAUUUGGCGGGACCAUCCGCUAAGGCUAAAUACUCCUGAGAGACCGAUAGUGAACUAGUACCGUGAGGGAAAGGUGAAAAGAACCCUGAAUAAGGGAGUGAAAUAGAACCUGAAACCAUACGCUUACAAGCGGUCGGAGCCCUUUGGGGUGACGGCGUGCCUUUUGCAUAAUGAGCCUACGAGUUACCGUUUCUAGCAAGGUUAAGCACUUCAGGUGCGGAUCCGUAGCGAAAGCGAGUCUGAAUAGGGCGAUAUAGUUAGUGGCGGUAGACGCGAAACCGUGUGAUCUACCCAUGGGCAGGGUGAAGCUGUGGUAACACAUAGUGGAGGCCCGAACCCGUUGACGUUGAAAAGUCUUGGGAUGACCUGUGGGUAGGGGUGAAAGGCCAAUCAAACUCGGAAAUAGCUCGUACUCCCCGAAAUGCAUUUAGGUGCAGCGUAUUAUUAGUUUUAUAGAGGUAGAGCUACUGAUUGGAUGCGGGGGCUUCACCGCCUACCAAUUCCUGACAAACUCCGAAUGCUAUAAAAUGAU
rnacentral:rRNA from 1 species